AUAGGUUUAACGAGCCCGACGGCCAUAAAGUCUAAUGCAUUUGUUGUCGUCGUUGACGAUGCACGAGUUCGAGCCCCGGUCGGGUCUACGGUGGUGGCCUCUGAUGCUCGCACUAGUUGCGAUAUCGUCGUUAUUGUCCUUAGUAAAGCUUGUUCCUAUCGUUCGAGGACGACGACGACGACGACGACGACGACGACGACGACGACGACGACGACGACGAGGACGACGACGAGGACGACGACGACGACGACGAGGACGACGACAACGACGACAAUUCCUUGAAUAAAUCAACAGAGUCUCGCAAGAAAAUUCCAGAGUAUAAAAAGAAGAAAAAAAAGAAGAGAAGGAGAAGGAAGU